rnacentral:misc_RNA from 1 species
CCGAGUGCGGGUCCUCACGGCCCAACCUCCCACCCUUGUCUUAUACACCUGUUGCUUUGGCGGGCCCACUGGGGCCACCUGGUCGCCGGGGGACGCAUGUCCCCGGGCCCGCGCCCGCCGAAGCGCUCUGUGAACCCUGAUGAAGAUGGGCUGUCUGAGUACCAUGAAAAUUGUCA